rnacentral:rRNA from 1 species
UAGGGAAUCUUCCACAAUGGACGAAAGUCUGAUGGAGCAACGCCGCGUGAGUGAAGAAGGGUUUCGGCUCGUAAAGCUCUGUUGGUAGUGAAGAAAGAUAGAGGCAGUAACUGGCCUUUAUUUGACGGUAAUUACUUAGAAAGUCACGGCUAACUACGUGCC